rnacentral:rRNA from 1 species
AUUGAACGCUGGCGGCAGGCCUAACACAUGCAAGUCGAGCGGAUGAGUGGAGCUUGCUCCAUGAUUCAGCGGCGGACGGGUGAGUAAUGCCUAGGAAUCUGCCUGGUAGUGGGGGACAACGUUUCGAAAGGAACGCUAAUACCGCAUACGUCCUACGGGAGAAAGUGGGGGAUCUUCGGACCUCACGCUAUCAGAUGAGCCUAGGUCGGAUUAGCUAGUUGGUGAGGUAAAGGCUCACCAAGGCGACGAUCCGUAACUGGUCUGAGAGGAUGAUCAGUCACACUGGAACUGAGACACGGUCCAGACUCCUACGGGAGGCAGCAGUGGGGAAUAUUGGACAAUGGGCGAAAGCCUGAUCCAGCCAUGCCGCGUGUGUGAAGAAGGUCUUCGGAUUGUAAAGCACUUUAAGUUGGGUAGGAAGGGGCAGUAAGUUAAUAACCUUGCUGUUUUGACGUUACCAACAGAAUAAGCACCGGCUAACU